rnacentral:rRNA from 1 species
UGACGAGUGGCGGACGGGUGAGUAAUGCGUAGGAAUCUGUCUUUGAGUGGGGGACAACCCAGGGAAACUUGGGCUAAUACCGCAUAAGCCCUGAGGGGGAAAGCGGGGGAUCUUCGGACCUCGCGCUGGAAGAGGAGCCUACGUCUGAUUAGCUAGUUGGUAGGGUAAAGGCCUACCAAGGCGACGAUCGGUAGCUGGUCUGAGAGGACGACCAGCCACACUGGGACUGAGACACGGCCCAGACUCCUACGGGAGGCAGCAGUGGGGAAUUUUUCGCAAUGGGGGCAACCCUGACGAAGCAAUGCCGCGUGAAUGAAGAAGGACUUCGGGUUGUAAAGUUCUUUCGUGGAGGACGAAAAGGUGGGUGCUAAUAUCGCCUGCUGUUGACGUGAAUCCAAGAAGAAGCACCGGCUAACUCCGUGCCAGCAGCCGCGGUAAUACAAGGGCG